rnacentral:rRNA from 1 species
CCCUUAGAUGUUCUGGGCUGCACGCGCGCUACACUGAUGCGCUCAACGAGUUUUAACCUUGCCUGGAAAGGUUGGGUAAUCUUUUUAAAACGCAUCGUGAUGGGGAUAGAUUAUUGCAAUUAUUAAUCUUCAACGAGGAAUGCCUAGUAAACGCAAGUCAUCAGCUUGCAUUGAUUACGUUCCUGCCCUUUGUACACACCGCCCGUCGCUCCUACCGAUUGAAUGAUCCGAUGAAUAUCAUGGAUUGAGGAUGCAAGUAGGUUAGCCUAUCUUCAUCUUCGAGAAGUGAAGCAAAUCUUAUCAUUUAGAGGAAGGAGAAGUCGUAACA